UUAAGUUAUUAAGGGCGCACGGUGGAUGCCUUGGCACUAGAAGCCGAUGAAGGACGUUACUAACGACGAUAUGUUUUGGGGAGCUGUAAGUAAGCGUUGAUCCAGAGAUUUCCGAAUGGGGAAACCCAGCAUGAGUUAUGUCAUGUUAUCGAUAUGUGAAUACAUAGCAUAUCAGAAGGCAGACCCGGAGAACUGAAACAUCUUAGUACCCGGAGGAAGAGAAAGAAAAAUCGAUUCCCUGAGUAGCGGCGAGCGAAACGGGAAGAGCCCAAACCAACAAGCUUGCUUGUUGGGGUUGUAGGACACUCUAUACGGAGUUACAAAAGUAUAUAUUAGACGAAUCAUCUGGAAAGUUGAAUCAAAGAAGGUAAUAAUCCUGUAGUCGAAAAUAUAUACUCUCUUGAGUGGAUCCUGAGUACGACGGAGCACGUGAAAUUCCGUCGGAAUCUGGGAGGACCAUCUCCUAAGGCUAAAUACUCUCUAGUGACCGAUAGUGAACCAGUACCGUGAGGGAAAGGUGAAAAGUACCCCGGAAGGGGAGUGAAAGAGAACUUGAAACCGUGUGCUUACAAGUAGUCAGAGCCCGUUAAUGGGUGAUGGCGUGCCUUUUGUAGAAUGAACCGGCGAGUUACGAUUUGAUGCAAGGUUAAGCAGCUAAUGUGGAGCCGUAGCGAAAGCGAGUCUGAAUAGGGCGUUUAGUAUUUGGUCGUAGACCCGAAACCAGGUGAUCUACCCUUGGUCAGGUUGAAGUUCAGGUAACACUGAAUGGAGGACCGAACCGACUUACGUUGAAAAGUGAGCGGAUGAACUGAGGGUAGCGGAGAAAUUCCAAUCGAACUUGGAGAUAGCUGGUUCUCUCCGAAAUAGCUUUAGGGCUAGCCUCAAGUGAUGAUUAUUGGAGGUAGAGCACUGUUUGGACGAGGGGCCCUUCUCGGGUUACCGAAUUCAGACAAACUCCGAAUGCCAAUCAAUUUAACUUGGGAGUCAGAACAUGGGUGAUAAGGUCCGUGUUCGAAAGGGAAACAGCUCAGACCACCAGCUAAGGUCCCAAAAUAUAUGUUAAGUGGAAAAGGAUGUGGCGUUGCCCAGACAACUAGGAUGUUGGCUUAGAAGCAGCCAUCAUUUAAAGAGUGCGUAAUAGCUCACUAGUCGAGUGACACUGCGCCGAAAAUGUACCGGGGCUAAACAUAUUACCGAAGCUGUGGAUUGUCCGUAGGACAAUGGUAGGAGAGCGUUCUAAGGGCGUCGAAGCAUGAUCGCAAGGACAUGUGGAGCGCUUAGAAGUGAGAAUGCCGGUGUGAGUAGCGAAAGACGGGUGAGAAUCCCGUCCACCGAUUGACUAAGGUUUCCAGAGGAAGGCUCGUCCGCUCUGGGUUAGUCGGGUCCUAAGCUGAGGCCGACAGGCGUAGGCGAUGGAUAACAGGUUGAUAUUCCUGUACCACCUAGUAUCGUUUUAAUCGAUGGGGGGACGCAGUAGGAUAGGCGAAGCGUGCUAUUGGAUUGCACGUCCAAGCAGUAAGACUGAGUGUUAGGCAAAUCCGGCACUCAUAAGGUCAAGCUGUGAUGGGGAGAGGAAAUUGCUUCCUCGAGUCGUUGAUUUCACACUGCCAAGAAAAGCCUCUAGAUAGAUAACAGGUGCCCGUACCGCAAACCGACACAGGUAGUCAAGAUGAGAAUUCUAAGGUGAGCGAGCGAACUCUCGUUAAGGAACUCGGCAAAAUGACCCCGUAACUUCGGGAGAAGGGGUGCUCUUUAGGGUUAACGCCCAGAAGAGCCGCAGUGAAUAGGCCCAAGCGACUGUUUAUCAAAAACACAGGUCUCUGCUAAACCGUAAGGUGAUGUAUAGGGGCUGACGCCUGCCCGGUGCUGGAAGGUUAAGAGGAGUAGUUAGCUUCUGCGAAGCUACGAAUCGAAGCCCCAGUAAACGGCGGCCGUAACUAUAACGGUCCUAAGGUAGCGAAAUUCCUUGUCGGGUAAGUUCCGACCCGCACGAAAGGCGUAACGAUUUGGGCACUGUCUCAACGAGAGACUCGGUGAAAUCAUAGUACCUGUGAAGAUGCAGGUUACCCGCGACAGGACGGAAAGACCCCGUGGAGCUUUACUGUAGCCUGAUAUUGAAAUUCGGCACAGCUUGUACAGGAUAGGUAGGAGCCUUUGAAACGUGAGCGCUAGCUUACGUGGAGGCAUUGGUGGGAUACUACCCUAGCUGUGUUGGCUUUCUAACCCGCACCACUUAUCGUGGUGGGAGACAGUGUCAGGUGGGCAGUUUGACUGGGGCGGUCGCCUCCUAAAAGGUAACGGAGGCGCUCAAAGGUUCCCUCAGAAUGGUUGGAAAUCAUUCAUAGAGUGUAAAGGCAUAAGGGAGCUUGACUGCGAGACUUACAAGUCGAGCAGGGUCGAAAGACGGACUUAGUGAUCCGGUGGUUCCGCAUGGAAGGGCCAUCGCUCAACGGAUAAAAGCUACCCCGGGGAUAACAGGCUUAUCUCCCCCAAGAGUUCACAUCGACGGGGAGGUUUGGCACCUCGAUGUCGGCUCAUCGCAUCCUGGGGCUGUAGUCGGUCCCAAGGGUUGGGCUGUUCGCCCAUUAAAGCGGUACGCGAGCUGGGUUCAGAACGUCGUGAGACAGUUCGGUCCCUAUCCGUCGUGGGCGUAGGAAAUUUGAGAGGAGCUGUCCUUAGUACGAGAGGACCGGGAUGGACAUACCUCUGGUGUACCAGUUGUCGUGCCAACGGCAUAGCUGGGUAGCUAUGUAUGGACGGGAUAAGUGCUGAAAGCAUCUAAGCAUGAAGCCCCCCUCAAGAUGAGAUUUCCCAACUUCGGUUAUAAGAUCCCUCAAAGAUGAUGAGGUUAAUAGGUUCGAGGUGGAAGCGUGGUGACACGUGGAGCUGACGAAUACUAAUCGAUCGAAGACUUAAUCAA
rnacentral:rRNA from 1 species